AGAGGCCACACUCUCACUUCCCAGGCAGUGUGGGAUAGGAUCCUGCGGGUGCCCACCCUAGAAUUAACCCUAGGAUGGAUGCAAUCAGGAUUCAGUUUUGUUGAGACUGCUGCAGAGAGGAUUUGUUACUUGAGACCAUAUACAUCCUGGAAUUCUGCUGGAAUAACAGCAUUGGUUACAUGAAAACCGUGUGACAACCUUGGAAGUCUGAAAGAGCAGGAGAGAGGCUAAGCACACACAUAUUGUGAUUUUAAGAGUCUCAAGGGCUGACACAAGCUGAGAUGAGGAAAUAUGACCUCCUACACGUGUUUUCCAUGAGGAAUAUGUUUGCUGUGCAGUCACUGAGUUAAAAGCAACCUUCAUUCCCUUGUGCACCAAGGUAGUGCCUCUCCAGAGCUGUAGAUGUCUUCCCAGGAUAUUCCAUCAUUCUACACAGCAUUUAAUUCUUGGAGCUCACAGUCCAAGACUGUUAUCAGUCCAUUUUCACUCUAUUGAUCAAGACAUACUCAAGACUGGGUAAUUUAUAAAGAAA
rnacentral:lncRNA from 1 species